AUUAAACACUGGGUCUCGUACGACCACCGAAGUUAAGCAACAUCGAUCCUGGUCAGUACCUAGGUGGGUAAUCCAUUGGGAAUACCAGAUG